CCCAACUACUCACCGAGCCCAGCCUUGGGCGCAGAAGGCGGAGGAGGAGGCUCAUGGUGGAGAGUCCCAGACCGGCUUAGCUCCUGCCGGCUGCCCACUCACCUCCUCAACCAGACUAACAGGGCCUGAGAGGCCAGGAGUUCAAGGAAUUUCCAAAUCUCGGCCAAGGAAAAGGGAGAGAUUGCUUUUAAAACCAGCUCACUGACUUCAAGAUGGCAGGGUUUGGCCAUGACAGCGCACCUACCUCAAUGCCAGAGACCCAUCAUUUCCCACUUCUGGCUUGUGUGCACAUCAGUAGCAUGGAAAUGAUCAGCCUGGUUCUUGACUGAGAAGUAAUACUGGGGCAAUUGUAUUGUGUAUUACCAGUAGGGAAAGUCACAUCUACUAGGUAAUUUAUUAGCACCCUACAGAUACAGAAGAAACAACAUGAUUCUUAAAAAGUUUUUUUGGACUACAAAAUGAUUUUGUCUUGAAGAUAUUCGUCAAUUCCCUGCAGAUUUUGAAAGUCAGAUUUUUGUCAGAUUAUUUCAGGCAAGAAAAUCAGUGGAGUGUUACAAAAGAAAAAUUUAUUGUGGAAAUAGUGUUGACUGGGAAAAACCACUCUUUAAUGAAAGGGUUACAGUGCUGAGUUAGGCCUCUACACAGAGAGGCUGGCCACAAGCCUAUGCAGAGUAUGAGGAUUGAACUCUGGAUACUCUGAUCACUGAGCCCUGGGACAACUGUGCUAGAUUGGAUAAUUCCAAGGAACCACUAAAGCGGGCGAAUUUAAAUACCUUUUUAGGAGAACUGGGGGACAGAGGGGUGAGAAAAAUAGUUGGUUGGCUUUACAAUGGUAACUAGGGAAAAUGGGGAGUAAUAACAGUGAGGGGUGGAUGCUUUACUAUGGACACAAAAGGGCUGGGCCACCUUAAUAAAGGACUUUGGCCUAAGGGGAGGAACUUUUGCUACAGAAGAGAUACUUAAACAUCUGAUGGGAUUAGCUAUUCCCAUUUAUUUAAGAUCCAUUGUUAGUCCGAGGUCAGUGACCUUGGACUUUUCCUCAGGGAGAAAAUUUCAUGUGACUAGGUCAAGCCUGGAGCUUUCACCUUUAAGCUAACAAACUGGGGGUCAUUAAAUCUUUCUAGAUUACAAGUUUGGGGGCCUCUAGAUUCCAUGUUGACACCUCUUUUGGUCAAGACUAGAUGUCGCUGACCAAACAAAUGGGUGAUACUAAAUAGGGUUGGACUCUCACUAAUGGUGGGAAACCUUGGGGUAUAGGUAUGGGCAAUUGGCAUGUGGGGGCACCCCCCAAUGCCUGGCGCAUUGACACUUGUGCCAGAGAAAGGUCGGCAGUCUACCUUUGGCAAUUUUACAAUCCAUUUCCCCAAUCCCCCAAAGUCUUUUAAAUCUUUCAAAUCCGGUGGAUCCUGAUGAAAAGCCUCCUGCCUCCUCUUUCCUGCAGACUUCUUUUGUACAAGACAGCUUCUUUGCUGCAAGAGAAAACCAGAGAAAUCCAUAAACACCUUCUCUAACUGGACUUGAUCAAUUCCCAAUAAAGAUUAUCCUUGCUGCUAAUCUUAAUCUGGAAUCCCUUAUUAUUAAUUCUAUUAAUGUCUAUUCUAUACCAAUUAUGAAAUUAUGUAAACUAUAUGCUUAAUCAGAAAAGUUGCCUUAUUCUACACAAAUAAUCAUAUAAAAAGCAACCCUACAAACGGUCAACGUGGAAAUCUAGAAAUCCCCAGUUUAUUUAGUUUGAGUGUAGAAACCCCAGGUUUUGACCUUGUCACAGGAGAGGUUUCCCCCUCAGGGAAGGUCCCUCUUCACCAGACAAUGGAUUUCCAGGUAGUUUGAGUGGGAACAGCUAAUCCCAUCCAAUAUUAAGUAUCUCUUUUGUCCCUAUUUUUUUUUCUCCCCCUAGGCUAAGUUAUGUCCAUUGUAGGGCAUCCGCCCCUCACUGUUAUUCCUGUCUGGAACUCCUCAUUUUCCUUUCUUACCAUUGUAAUGUCAGUCAACUGUCCCUCUCACUACAAGCCCCCAGGUCAUCUAGAGUGGUAUAUGGGUUCCCCAAAUUCUUUUGUUCCUCGGAGUCCAACCUGAGUUGGUGGCACUCCCAAGGGUCAGUGACCAGGGCGUCCAGACUGUGCAGUCUCAGAGAGCAGCUCUGUUGUCGCAACUUAGUAGCGCUAACCCCUUUUCCCUUGAUUAAAGAGUGAUUUUGACUAUUUAAUAGUUCUGCGUUUUUUCUAGUUGACAAAACUAUAGAAAUAAAAGGCAAAAAUAAAAUCCACAUCACAGGUUAAUCAGGGCUUGUAAAUCUGAAAAUGGCCCUUCUCUCUGUUCAUAGCCAAAAAUUAAAAUAAUGUCUAACCCUAAGUAAAAUUCUAACCAGAUAUUCUAUCACCAAAAAAUCCAAAACCACAUUAAAAUGCAUAGCAAUUUCAGCCUUGAAACAGUUUUAAAGGCAAAAUUAAAAUUGACUCCCAAAAUUCUCAAAAUUAAAAAUGCUUCUACCUUUCCCUAAUUUUAAAACCUCUCACACAUACCUCUUUGUUUCCUCAGUCAUUUCAUCUUUCACCUGACAAUAUUAGAUGUUAUACAAAAGCUUAUUUCUUUCUUCUCCUUUCCCCUAAACCUUUUGUAAUCUAUUCCAUGACUAAUAAUUUGUGCACAAAUGCACAAAUAUUAAAGAUGAAAACAGAGACAACUAGGUGGCACAGGGAAUAGAACGCCAGGUCUGCAGACCAGAGCACCUGGGUUCAAAUAUGACUUCAGAUACUUCCUAGCUUUGUGAUCCUGGGCAGGUUAUUUAAGCCUAGCCCUCACCCUUCUGUCUUAGAGUUGUUACUAAGACAGAAAAUAAAAGUUUAAAAAAAAGAAGAUAAAACUUUCUCCUCUCUAAUUUUUUAAUACUGUGAUUUUUAAUAUAUAGGUCAUAUUAUCAUUUACAUUUUAUUAUUGAUAUAAGCUUUAAGAUAUUGUCCUAACCCUGUUUCACUGUCAAACUGCUUUCUAGUUUUCCCAAAGGUUCUUGUCAAAAUAAAAAGAAGCUUCUUCCCUA